AACGAACGCUGGCGGCAUGCCUAACACAUGCAAGUCGAACGAGACCUUCGGGUCUAGUGGCGCACGGGUGCGUAACGCGUGGGAACCUGCCCUUAGGUUCGGAAUAACUCCCCGAAAGGGGUGCCAAUACCGGAUAAUGUCUUCGGACCAAAGAUUUAUCGCCUUUGGAUGGGCCCGCGUUGGAUUAGCUAGUUGGUAGGGUAAAAGCCUACCAAGGCGACGAUCCAUAGCUGGUCUGAGAGGAUGAUCAGCCACACUGGGACUGAGACACGGCCCAGACUCCUACGGGAGGCAGCAGUGGGGAAUAUUGGACAAUGGGCGAAAGCCUGAUCCAGCAAUGCCGCGUGAGUGAUGAAGGCCUUAGGGUUGUAAAGCUCUUUUACCCGGGAUGAUAAUGACAGUACCGGGAGAAUAAGCCCCGGCUAACUCCGUG
rnacentral:rRNA from 1 species